rnacentral:lncRNA from 10 species
GUGUGGCUCCCUCUGCUGAGCUGAGGACGCCCUUCAGACCCAGGUUGCUACCUCCCUGAGACCCAGGAGGCAGAAGUAAGGAGGCACUACAUGGACAACCCUGCAUGGGAUUCCCACGGCUGACAGAAGUAUUGUUAUUAGCAGAAUUCUGGAGCCAUGGUGUCUCAAUCAAUCCAAUUUUCCUGGUGUCCUGAUAUUACCCCUGGGCUACUGGCUUCGUGUUUUGAGUUGAUUUUGGGAGUAGAGCACAGCAGCCUGGGCUUGAUUGUCACUUUGGCAGCUACAGCAUUCACUGCAGCUGUGAACGGUAGCAGUGAAAGCAUACAUCAAUGACUUGCUCCUGACGAGAAUGGGAAUGCUUCUAACAUUUCACAUUCAAGAGAAGGAGCCUUGGAGAAUUCGUUGAAUAAUUGCCCGUAUUUUGGGAUUAUUUGGAAGAGUUAAUAUGGUGAUUCGUUUUCCCUGACCACUUGGGGGAACUGACCCACAAAACUGCCUGCCUUAGAACGGUAGAGGGUGGAUUGAGCUUUAAAUACAUUUUCAGUUUGUGGACGUACCAUUGGUUUUAUCCAUUCACCAAUUGGAAAAAGUAUUGAUUGUCAAUUUCAAAUAAGCUGCUAUAUAUGUUUUUGUGUACGUGAUUUUGUGUGUAUGAACCUGUUUCCAAUUUUCCUUGAUAAAACCUAGGAGUACAAUUGCUGUGUGUAAUGGUAAGUCUAAGUUUUGCUAUAUUAGAAAUAGCCAAAGCCCCUUCUAGAGUGAAUGUGUUCUUUUUCUUCUCUACCAGCAAUGAAAGAGAAUGCCACAUCUUUUGUACAAUUUGGUAUUUUCAGGUUGUUGCAUUGUAUCAAUUGUAACAGGUGGGUAGAAGAAUGUUACUGCUGUUUACAUUUGUAUUUUUAUUGAAUAAUUAUGGUAAUCAUCUUUUCAUAUGCUUUUUUGUGAUCUGUGUAUCUUCAUUGGUGAAGUCUUGAAAUCAUUUACUAUUUUAUUGGACUCUUCAUUUUUAUGUGGUUGCAUGUUAUAAGGUGUUUAUUCAUUCAGUAUAUGAAUCCUUUAUCCGACACGGGGUUUACAAGUAUUUUCUCCCCAUUUUUGGCUUUUUUCCCCAUUCCUUUAAGUGUUUUUUUUUUUUUAGUAAACAUUUUAGAGUAAUUUUAAAUUUACAGAAAAGUUGCGAAGACAGUUAAGAGGGUUUUCCUAUACAUCAUGUCCAGUUUCUCCUAUUAUUAACAUCAUGCAAUAAUAUGAUACAUUCUUCAUAAUUCAUAAAUCAAUAUUCACCUGCACAUUCCUGUCAUUGUUUGAGGAUCCCAUCUAGGAUACCAUGCUACUUUAGUCUAAGCUGUGAUAGUUUCUCAGACUAUUCUUGUUUUUGAUGACUUUAACAGUUUUGGGGAGUAUCGAUCAGGCUAUUUGUGGAAUUACCCUCAUUUGGUAUUUGUCUGAGUUUUUUCAUAUAUAGACUUGAGUAAUGGCUUUGGGGUAGGAGACCAGAGAGGCGAAAUGCCAUUCUCAUUACACGAUAUUUUAGCAACAUGACUCAUCGCUGUUGAUGUUGACUGAUGAACUGGCUGAGGUAGUGUUGUCAGGAUUUCCCUCUGCAAGGUUAUUACAUUCCCCCCUUUCUGUAUUGUGCUUUAUAAAAGAAAGUCACUAAGGGCAGCCAUUGGGUAGUAGGGAAGUAUGGUCCACCUUCUUGGGAAGGGGUAGUAUUGACAUGAAUGAUUUGGGAUUCUUCUCAAUGGGAGAUUUGUUUAUUCUCCCCCAUUAUUUGUAUUUAUUUAACCUUCAAUUUGUCUCGGCUGAACUCAUGGUAAUUUAUUAUAUGUUUGGGGUUAUAAUUCAACACCACUUUUAUUUUGCUGCUCAGAUUGUUCCAUCUUUGUCCAUUGGAAGCUCUUUCAGUUGGCUCUGAUGUCCCCUUCACGUAACUGAGCCAUUACAUUUGUUUGUAGCUCUGUCUUACUUUAUGGUAUGACAAGAUGAUGCAGGCUCAUUUUUAUAUUUCCUGUUCCAGUCAUAGAAGAGUCAAUUUUCCAUGGUUUCUGCUUCCUUUUAUGGGAGAAGAGUAUUGGAAUGUGAGAGGUGGGUGCUUGGCAUGCUCAUUGUUCCUGAGGAUUUGUUAUUCCUAGCCACCUCAAUUCUCAGAGUAAAGAUAUAUAUUUUGGUAUAUUAACCUGUGUAUAUACACAUAUCUAUAAUCAGAAUUCUUAAACCCAGUCCCUGUGAGAAAUAGCUUUAGAAGCCAGACAAUACUGCUUCAGUACAGUUUCUUUUAACUUCGGUCCCAGAGACUAACUUCCACAGGUACUUAGGACAGCACCAUAUCCCCAGAUACUCAUUAGAGGUUGUUUCAUAGAUUUGUAACACAGUUAUAUUGUUUUGUCAUAUUCUAUACUCCACCUUGGCAUUCCUCGACCUCCUAAUUUUUUCAAUUUUGCAUACAUUGAGGUUUACUCUUUGUGCUUUAAGGUUUUAUGCUUUUUGACAAAUGCAUAAUAUAUUCCAUUUUUUGACAGCAUGUCAUCAACCAUGACAUGACAAAAUCAAUCAUUACAGUAGCCUAGAGAAUAGUUUCACCUGUCUAAUAAAUUCCUUCUGCUUAUCCUAGUCAUACCUUUUCCCCACCCCUGAUCCCUGGCCACAACAGGUAUUUUUACUGUCGUUAUAGUCUUGUCUUUCCAGAACGUCAAAUAAAUUGCAUCAUAUACUAUGUAGUCUUUUCGGACUGGCUUCUUUUACUUAGAAUUAAGCAUUUAAGAUUUAUUCAUGUUUUUGUGUGCCUAGAUAAGUAAAUAUUUUGGUUGAUGAAUAGUGUUCUGUUGUUGUUGGACCACAGUUUGUUUAUUCAUCUGUCUCUUGAAGAACAUCUUUGUUGUUUCCAGUUUUGGCCAAUUAUUAAAUAAGCUGCCACACCCAUUCAUAUGCAGGUUUUUUUUGUGGGCAUAAAUUUGCAAAUUAGUUCAAUGUAUACCUAGGAGUGUCAAGAAUUUGUUCAGCUUUGUAAAAAAAUCAACUGACAAACCAUCUUUGAAAGUGGCUGUACUACUUUGCAUUCCCAACAGCAACAAAUGAGAGUUCCUUGUUGCCAGGAAUUGGUAUUGUCAGUAUUUGGAUUUUGGACAUUCUAAUAAGUGUGUAUCUUUGUUAUUUAAUUCAUAAUUCUCUAAUAAAGAAUGACAUUGACUAUGUUGUCUUAUGCUUAUUUUUU